GACGAACGCUGGCGGCGUGCUUAACACAUGCAAGUCGAACGGAAAGGCCCCUUUGGUGGUACUCGCGUGGCGCACGGGUGAGUAACACGUGAGUAACCUGCCCUUGCCUUCGGGAUAACUUCAGGCAACUGGGGCUAAUACCGGAUAGGAAUCCUUGCUGCAUGGUGGGGGUUGGAAAGCUUCGGCGGUUUUGGAUGGACUCGCGGCUUAUCAGCUUGUUGGUGGGGUAGUGGCUUACCAAGGCUUUGACGGGUAGGCGGCCUGAGAGGGGGACCGGCCAAAUUGGGACUGAGAUACGGCCCAGACUUCCACGGGGGGCAGCAGUGGGGAAUAUUGCACAAUGGGCGGAAGGCUGAUGCAGCAACGCCGCGUGCGGGAUGACGGCCUUCGGGUUGGAAACCGCUUUCAGCAGGUGCGAAGCUUGUGGUGACGGUACCUGCAGAAGAAGCACCGGCUAACUACGUG
rnacentral:rRNA from 1 species